rnacentral:rRNA from 1 species
CCUACGGGGCGCAGCAGGGAAUAUUGGGCAAUGGGGGAAACCCUGACCCAGCGACGCCGCGUGAGGGAAGAAGGUUUUCGGAUUGUAAACCUCUGUCCUUGGUGACGAUAAUGACAGUAGCCAAGGAGGAAGCCACGGCUAACUACGUGCCAGCAGCCGCGGUAAUACGUAGGUGGCGAGCGUUGUCCGGAAUUACUGGGUGUAAAGGGAGCGUAGGCGGGAGAGCAAGUCGACUGUGAAAUCUAUGGGCUUAACCCGUAGCUGCGAUCGAAACUGUUCAUCUUGAGUGAAGUAUAGGCAGGGGG